UUAUUUGUCAUAAACAAUUAAAAUAAGUAUAAUAAUUGAGUAGGGCUAAAAUACUUUUACAAGUAUCACCUAAGUGAUACUUGUGUGUUUCUAGCCCUUGGAUUGAGAGAUGGGAGGUUGAGAUGAUGGGGGUAGGUGGUGGUAGGUGGUGGUAGGUGGAAUAGUGUUUGAUCCAAGGGCUAUUUGUAAUCAAAAAGUAGAUCCAAUGGCUAAAAAGGUGAUAGCAACUUGGGGAUGAUACUUGUAAAAGUAUCCUAGAUCAACUCAUAAUAAUUUUCAAAUAUAUAAAUUAGAAAUAUUAUCAUCUAAUAACUUUAAAAAUUUUGCAGAACAAGAGUUGUUUCACAUAUAAAAUACUUCGUACAAUUAAAAAUAAAUACCGUUUUCUAAUAGCUUAGGCUGAUUGUUAAUAUAAUUUAACAGUAAUAUCUAUCUCUAUUCGAAGACAGAAAGAAAAGAG
rnacentral:lncRNA from 1 species